UCGGGGGGCGCCCGGCGAGAAGCCGUGGGGGGGACGGGGCCUCGGGCAUGGGGGGCGCGGGGCCCGGGGUCGCCCCAGCGCGGGGUGCGGCUGCAGGCCGCCGUUAUCACUGACAGCAACAACAACAGCAAUAACAACUACAACAAUAACAACUACAGCGGUGAUAAUAGCGAUAACAAAGCAGCGGGGCCGGGUGGGCGCAGCCCGAGCCCCAGAUUUUCGGCGAGGAAAAGUGGCUCCCGCACACGUGAUGGGAACGGCGCUUCCCCCAGGGCUGCUGGCACUUAUGUAAGAGGCCGCCAUGGCGCCCCGGCCCGCCCGGCGCGGCUCCUGCCGAGGAAACAAAAAAAGCGAAAAAAAUAAGGGGGGGGGGGGAGGUCUCCUUUCAUAGACUGUACAGAAUUUGAAAGGAGGUACUGUCACAUCCAGCGUGCUUGGCUGGCAGUGUCUUCUAGUCCUUACCCUAAAACUUAACCCCAUUUUAUUUUAUUUUUUUAAAAAGAAAAUAAUCACUGUUGACCCAUGAAAUAUGCAACCUAAAGCGUUGAAGGCACCAGAAUAUACGUACCAUGAGCAACCUCAUGGCAAUGAAAGCUAGGCCACUGAAACAGUUACAGGACUGGAGCAUCUGAUACAUGAGGAAAGAGGAAGAGCUGGGACUGCUCAGAAAGAAUGGCUGGAGAAAAGGAGAUUCAGGGGGAUUUUAUGCUUAUAUAUAAAUACCUGAUGAGGUGGGUAAAGAUGAGGGAGCCAGUCACUACUCAGUGGCGUUCAGUGACACGAUGAGAGUCAAUGGCACAAAUUGAAAUACUGGAAAUUCAAUUUAAACAUGAAAAGAAAAUGGCUGUGAGGUUGGUCAAACAGUGAAACGUGUUGUUCAGAGAGAUUGUGAGUUCUCCAUCUUUGGAGAUACUCAGAACCCAACUAGACAAAGCCCUGAGCAACCCUUUGUAGCUGACCCUGCUCUGAGUAGGAGUUGGACCAGACGAUCUGCAGAAUACCUUCCAACUUCAGUGACUGUGUUUUUAAGGAGUUUUUCCAACAAAUUUAAAGUGUUUAUAAUGAACAGCACAGUACACUGUAAGCUUUUUGGUUCCAAGGAUGGACAUUAAAUCAGUCAUUCACAUGUGGAAUGGAAGUCCUGAAUACAUGGAACAUUAUCCUUGAAAAUUCAGCGUAUCCAUGUGUUAGGUCAUUGCAAGGAGAGACAUCAGAAAAGCUAUGAUGUCGUUGAAAGGCAUAUGCCCAGAUGUUUUGUGAAAGCCUGAAGCUUAACUUCUUGUCUGGUCAUUGUUGGUCAUUCACCCUGUCUGCAUAUAACCACUGCACCUUUAUCCCGUUGUUCCCUGCUACUCAAGAGUCAGAUACCUGCAGCUUUUGAGUUAUUAAGGAGAAACAAUUUGUCCCGAUACAGCCGUGAUCUAAGUUUAACCCCAACCACUAACGUUUCUGACGCCGACCAAUAGGCCACAAACACCCUGGUAUGGUCAGGAAGAGGGGAACUCCCAUCUGUUGAGCUGCCAGAAAGGAAGCCAUGUUUACAACUGAUACUCACAGCCAUUUCUGCUCUCGCAUCUAACAGAGGAGUCCAAGGGCAGAACAGGCUUGAAAACUGCAGAUAAAAUAAAUGUACUUGCACCACCUUG